UGAGGAAUAUUGGACAAUGGGCGAGAGCCUGAUCCAGCCAUGCCGCGUGCAGGAAGACGGCCCUAUGGGUUGUAAACUGCUUUUAUACAGGAAGAAACACUCCCUCGUGAGGGAGCUUGACGGUACUGUAGGAAUAAGGAUCGGCUAACUCCGUGCCAGCAGCCGCGGUAAUACGGAGGAUCCAAGCGUUAUCCGGAAUCAUUGGGUUUAAAGGGUCCGUAGGCGGGAUAAUAAGUCAGCGGUGAAAGUCUGUGGCUCAACCAUAGAAUUGCCAUUGAUACUGUUGUUCUUGAGUGUUUAUGAAGUGGUUAGAAUAUGUAGUGUAGCGGUGAAAUGCUUAGAUAUUACAUGGAAUACCGAUUGCGAAGGCAGAUCACUAAUAAAAUACUGACGCUGAUGGACGAAAGCGUAGGUAGCGAACAGGAUUAGAUACCCUGGUAGUCUACGCCGUAAACGAUGGUUACUAGCUGUUCGGAAGCAAUU
rnacentral:rRNA from 1 species